rnacentral:rRNA from 1 species
GACGAACGCUGGCGGCGUGCUUAACACAUGCAAGUCGAACGGAAAGGCCCUGCUUUUGUGGGGUGCUCGAGUGGCGAACGGGUGAGUAACACGUGAGUAACCUGCCCUUGACUUUGGGAUAACUUCAGGAAACUGGGGCUAAUACCGGAUAGGAGCUCCUGCUGCAUGGUGGGGGUUGGAAAGUUUCGGCGGUUGGGGACGGACUCGCGGCUUAUCAGCUUGUUGGUGGGGUAGUGGCUUACCAAGGCUUUGACGGGUAGCCGGCCUGAGAGGGUGACCGGCCACAUUGGGACUGAGAUACGGCCCAGACUCCUACGGGAGGCAGCAGUGGGGAAUAUUGCACAAUGGGCGGAAGCCUGAUGCAGCAACGCCGCGUGCGGGAUGACGGCCUUCGGGUUGUAAACCGCUUUCGCCUGUGACGAAGUGUGAGUGACGGUAAUGGGUAAAGAAGCACCGGCUAACUACGUG